rnacentral:lncRNA from 1 species
GGGUUCUACAGAUAAAUAUUCUGAUUUGGCAAGUCUGGCGUGAGGUCUUUUUAUUUUCUUUGAAACACAGUUAUCAAAAUGAAAAACCAUUAUGAAAAGCAUCUAUCUUCAUCACUGAACCUCAUGGCAUGUUCAUAUUGCAAGUGAAACAGCUGAAGAAUAAGAACAAUGCCUACAACACCAUUUUCAAG